AGAUAGCUUAAUAAGGAUGUUUAUUAGUGGGUAUAGCACUGAAUAUCUAAUAUUAUUUGAAGGGAGUAUGAAAGUACUUACUUUGGAUAUUUAAUCUCAGAAUAACUAAUAGAUGAAAGAUGAUUAAGUUGUCAGACUUUUUGCGAUAAGGUGGGAAGUCAAGAGGGAAACAGCCCAGAAUAAUUUAUAAAGUUCCAAAAUUGUU
rnacentral:rRNA from 1 species